rnacentral:rRNA from 1 species
GACGAACGCUGGCGGCGUGCUUAACACAUGCAAGUCGAACGGGAUGAUUUAGACGCUUUCUUUUAGAGGAUCUAGUGGCACACGGGUGUGUAACACGUAUGCAACCUGCCGACCGGAUGGGGACAACAUUCCGAAAGGAAUGCUAAUACCGAAUGAAGCGCAGGCGGGGCAUCUCUCCUGCGUGAAAGAUGGCUUCUAUUUAUAAGCUGUCACCUGUCGUUGGUCCUGCGUCUGCUUAGCUGGUUGGUGAGGUAACGGCUCACCAAGGCGACGAUCAGUAGCCGGUCUGAGAGGAUGAGCGGCGACAUUGGGACUGAGACACGGCCCAGACUCCUACGGGAGGCAGCAGUGGGGAAUCUUCCGCAAGGGGAGCAAGCCUGACGGAGAAACGCCGCGUGAGCGAAGAAGGGCUUCGGAUCGUAAAGUGUAGUUGAUGGGGACGAACGGGCGAAGGGUGAAUAAUCCCUUGUAAUGACGGUACCUGUCGAAGAAGCCACGGCUAACUACGUG